AAUAAUUCACAAUGGGGGCAACCCUGAUGGUGCAACGCCGCGUGGAGGAUGACGGUCUUCGGAUUGUAAACUCCUGUCAUCCGGGAGUAAGACCUGGGAGUGAAUAGCUCACAGGGUUGAUAGUACCGGAAGAGGAAGGGACGGCUAACUUCGUGCCAGCAGCCGCGGUAAUACGAAGGUCCCGAGCGUUGUUCGGAAUCACUGGGCGUAAAGGGAGCGUAGGCGGCGUGGUAAGUCAGAUGUGAAAUCCCGGGGCUCAACCCCGGAACUGCAUCCGAUACUGCCGUGCUAGAGGAUUGGAGAGGUAGCUGGAAUUCUUGGUGUAGCAGUGAAAUGCGUGGAUAUCAAGAGGAACACUCGUGGCGAAAGCGAGCUACUGGACAACUCCUGACGCUGAGGCUCGAAGGCCAGGGUAGCGA
rnacentral:rRNA from 1 species